GUUCGCGUUAAGAGGUACGGAAUAGAUACGGUACGAAGAUCUCUUUCCUGGUUGUAACUCCCGCUUUUUCUUUUCCCCCCCAUUUUAGAUAAGCAUCUGAUAAAAGAAGAUGAUAAAAAGACCGUUAUAUGCAUCGAGGGGAAUAUUGCAAGCGGAAAGACAACGUGCCUGGAUUAUUUUGCACAGACUACCAGCAUCGAGGUCUUGACAGAACCAGUGAGUAAAUGGAGGAAUGUUCGUGGUCAUAAUAUCCUG